AGUGAACGCUGGCGGUAGGCCUAACACAUGCAAGUCGAACGGCAGCACAGUAAGAGCUUGCUCUUACGGGUGGCGAGUGGCGGACGGGUGAGGAAUACAUCGGAAUCUACUUUUUCGUGGGGGAUAACGUAGGGAAACUUACGCUAAUACCGCAUACGACCUACGGGUGAAAGCAGGGGAUCUUCGGACCUUGCGCGAUUGAAUGAGCCGAUGCCGGAUUAGCUAGUUGGCGGGGUAAAGGCCCACCAAGGCGACGAUCCGUAGCUGGUCUGAGAGGAUGAUCAGCCACACUGGAACUGAGACACGGUCCAGACUCCUACGGGAGGCAGCAGUGGGGAAUGUUGGACAAUGGGCGCAAGCCUGAUCCAGCCAUACCGCGUGGGUGAAGAAGGCCUUCGGGUUGUAAAGCCCUUUUGUUGGGAAAGAAAAGCAGCAGGUUAAUACCCCGCUGUUCUGACGGUACCCAAAGAAUAAGCACCGGCUAACUUCGUG
rnacentral:rRNA from 1 species